GGCGGAGUUUGUAGAGGGGAAGCUAGGAGGAAAGCCUGCAGCAGGUGCGGUGGUGGACAGAGGGACAGACAGUGGGAAGCAGGAGGGUUGCGGGGAGGGGAGAUGGAGGCCUGCGGGUUCCUCCUCCAUUUUGGCUCAAGGAAGGGAAAUUCUCUGCUGAAAUGGCAUUUGCUCUUGGGAAGACUUGCCUCGGGUUGCUCAGCUCCGGCAGAGCUGAGAGAAGGAGGAGGAGCUGGUAACAUCACAAGCCCCCCUCACCCCAGAAGUUUGCAGAACAGAACUCUUCGGCACUGGGGGGACCUGCACGCUGCCUCUCUGCCACCUGCUGUCACAGAAGCCAUCUUGCAUCCCCACGAGACCGUGGCCACCUCUGUGUCUCCAAGUGUGGGCCCUGGACCAGUGGCGGCGGCGGCCCCUGAGAACUGGUUGGAAAUGCACGUUCUUGGCCCCAUCCCAGAUGAAUUACAUCAGAAACUCGCCAAUCUGUGGGGUGAGUCUCGUAUGUGCAAAGGUUUGAGAACCACCGAUGGGGGGUAAUGUCGCUUAACAUCUCCAGGCCUCAUCUGCAAACGGUAACGAUUAUAUCUUCUGCAGAGUUGUGAGGAUUGGGUAAGACGGCCCAGAGUACGAGUGCGGUGAUGGUGGUGAUAGACCUAUGAGAGCAGAAAUGUAAUAUAAAGCAUCGGGGCUUUUCUCUUCUGUCCUCUCCGUCCUAGAGUUUGGGGACCCGCGGAACCGGCCUCCUGCACACUGUCCCCCACAGGCAACGGGUGUAGGUCUGACGGGAGCCUUUCUAAAUGUGCCAAGGCCAGAGAUGGGUGACCAGGGCUCAGCCUCUCCAGGAAUGAGGUACAGGCUCUGGAGCUUUCCCUGGAGCUGCCUGUGGGCCCUUAGCCGGAAUGGCUGAGUUGAGGCCUGUUCUUGGCGAGAUGGCGGUGAUGGGAGCCGCCUCAGGUGUGCCAGGCCCCUGGUCACAGUCAGCGCAGCUGGGUGGGACAACGGGUGAGCGAGCAGGGACACAGGGUGCUGGCUGGCAAGAGAUCUGAGGCCAGCCUGUAGCUCAGCCAGGUUUUCCUGAUGAGCACAUUGUCUUCACGGGUAUGAUGGAAAUCUGCAGUUUCUCCAGAAACCUGAUUUUAACCUUCAUCCCUUCUCCUUCCUUAGCUCGAGGGCCAAGUUGCCAUUACAAAAGCCUAAGGCUCAUGAAGACUGGCAAGGCCGGCUUCCAAGAGGCCUCUGGAAUUUGCCUUGAACGUGUGUCCUUCGCUAACUGGAUUUCCAGACUUUCCACACUCUGCCUCACACUCUGGCCUUCCUCAGAAGCUGCCACUCACCUGGCCCUCGCCACCAACCCCGUCUCCUCCCAGCCACUGGGCCCAGCCAAGGGCCGCCACUCCCACUCCAGCUAAAAGGAGACCUGGAAAGAGGGCACGAGUGAAGGUGAAAACUGCUUUCUCUGAGAACCGGCUGCCUUAGGGUGUCAGCCCUAAGUUUGAGUCACCUUGGACAGACGUCACGUUACCAGGAGAGUCCAGCUCCUCCCCAGGAGGCGGACAGGUCUGAUUUUGAAGGGAGCAUUAUCCACUAACGAUUUUAUCACAAGCAAAAUAUGAAUUUUUAUCUCUAUUGCACAUUUCCAACUUUCAAAUAUACGACCCUUCUUCAAACCUGCAGAUUCUUUGAAAGAAUUUAGAGCGCCUUAUUCCCAGGACUGGGUAAUUUUUCCCUGGCUGCAUUUUAAUUUUAGAGAAAGGAAGCCUGAUGUGAUGAACACUCACUGAAUAGAAAUCCUGGGGCUCUUAAUUAAACCAGAUAAGGUGUCUCACCCUGGAAACCCUCCCAUUGGCUUAUGAGAAACUCAUUUGCAUUCUCUGAGAUGCAAUUCAUAUUUCCUUAUCUCGUUCCUGCAUCAAAAGUUACCUUUUUGCAAAGAAUAAUUUUUGCCCAAAUACAUUUUCUUUCUAGUAUUCCAAAGAGUCUGUGAUGGCAAGGAGUAUGGAGCUCUGUCCUUGAAUGGCUCAGACUCCAUCCUUCCUCCAGCACCUGGGAGCAGCAAGUGUCUGCUCUGGGCCCAGGCUUCCAGUCUCUGCCCAGUGCCCUCCCUUCCAAGACCCCUCCCCUAAAAUAAGGGAAAAGAAAUUAGCUGCAUUCUACUAAUGAGCAGUUACUGUGGCUUAAAGGUCGCUAGCCAUGCAUGGUACAUCUCUUAAACCUUGUGCUCCAUGCACAAGACUCCACUGACCCCCACUCUCUGCUCCCAGGUCUCCUGCCUGCAGGUCGACCAGCUGUUCUUCAUCAGUUGGGCAAAUGGACUCAGGUCCACCUUUGUAGAAGUUCCGUGCUUCCUUCCCUUUAUCCUCUGCUCAGCCACGUUUAGCAUUUCAGCUUUUAUAAGAGAACCAUGAACUCAAGAGUGUCAGGCAUAGUCUGAGCUAUUAAUAAUAUGGCAUUUUUCUUACUUUUCUUAUAGUCUGGGGGUAGACAUCCUUCAAUGAGAUCUUCAAAGGAAAACUGAGUGAGGGGCAGGUCAAGAUCUAGGCAUUCCCAGGCUCCUGGUCCUUGGCCUGAAUGCUGGAUUUUAGGACAGGAAGGGGGAAAUAGACAUAGAUGAGGCUGGAGAGGUGAGUACAUUCCAGAAAAUAAUGAGCAUGCUUGCCAGACCCAGGGGACUGAACUGUCCUGCGGUGCACUGCUUCUCAUAAUGGGAUCCAGCUACUCAUCAGAGCUUUGACAUGUUUGUUAAGGAUGUUGAUUCUUGAGCCCUAUUCCCAAAUCUGAAUCUGAAUCAGAACUUUUGUGGCCCAGGACCCCAGACUUACAAAAUGCCUGGGUAAUGCUUAUGCACAUCUUUCCAUCAGUUGGAAAACAUUGGCACCAUUGACUGAGAGGUUAAUUCAAGAACCUAAGCAGAGAUGUGACACAGUCAGAUUGGUCACUUUCGUUGCACUUUAUGGCAUGCAUUUUAAAAACUGGAGACCAGACAAGUGAUUAUUGUAAUACUUCAGAUGGGAAAUGCUGAGGAGCUGAGCUAAGCCAGUAGUGGUGAGGCUGGAGCAGUAGGAGGUCAACCCUGGAGUUUCUGGCUUGAGUUAUUGAGCCAAUAAAGGAUAAAUAAUCUGAAGUCA
ensembl:lncRNA